GCCAGCAGCCAUAUUACCUUGCAACUCACAACUGGCAACCCACUGAAGCUAAGCAGGUGUGAGCCUGGUUAGUACCUAGGUGGGAGACCUCCUGGGAAAAACUAAGGUUGCUGCUGGAA
rnacentral:rRNA from 1 species